AGAAAAAUGAUAUGAAUGUACAGUGAGGCGGUGACCACGUGAGGGCGGCAGCCAAUGACUGCUGCGGCUGCCAAAGUUGCCCGGUUCCUUCCUGGUGAUGGAUCACCCUGGCUGUGGCAUUUAAAUUCUGAGCGCCCCUUCAUCAAGGUGACGCGCAGACACCGCCGCCGCCUCCCUCCCUCCCACUCUCUUCUCAGCCAGCGUGUUGGGCUUGGAGAGCUGGGCCGACGAGCCAGUGUGCGCCCAAGCGCUCAACCUGGAGCAGCAGCCGCGGGAACAACAGCAGUGAGAAUAGAAAGCACUGAACGGCCGCCGGAGGGGGCUGCUCCAGCGUGGAUUGAAGGACCCAGAGCCUGCAGAUUUCUUUUCUUGGGACCUUUGGAACUCUGGGACGGAAAUCCAUCAGAAGUGUACCUUUCUUGGUUCCCCACACCAACAUUUCUUUCCAAUGGUUGGCAGAAAGAAUAAACACAGUGACUAAUAUAAAUAUACAUUUUUAUCUGUCUGCAUAACUGCAGCAAUCCUCCUAAGGAGCACUUUUUUUUCUUUUGCGGAAUAUUCUCUUUCAUAUAUGUGCGAGAGAGACAAACUCAGUGUUUUUAAUAGCUUUUAAUAUCACUAAAGCAGUAUUUUUGUGUAUUUUUAAUUCUAAUAUAUGGUAUGUAUUAAAUGGAGGAAAUGCUUGUUUUUAAUAAGGGUCAAAGAUAUUCUAAGUUAUGGGAAAAAUUGUAACACUGCAUUUUGGGGGGAGAAAGGGAAGUAGAGGAUUUCAGUAGCUUUCUUCCAAUAAAUGUUUUUCUCAA